rnacentral:rRNA from 1 species
UAAGGAAUAUUGGUCAAUGGACGCAAGUCUGAACCAGCCAUGCCGCGUGAAGGAUGAAGGUCCUCUGGAUUGUAAACUUCUUUUAUCUGGGACGAAAACGGGAUUUUUAUCUCAAUUGACGGUACCAGAGGAAUAAGCACCGGCUAACUCCGUGCCAGCAGCCGCGGUAAUACGGAGGGUGCGAGCGUUAUCCGGAUUUACUGGGUUUAAAGGGUGCGUAGGUGGGCUUAUAAGUCAGUGGUGAAAUCUCCGAGCUUAACUUGGAAACUGACGUUGAUACUAUAGGUCUUGAAUUAUCUGGAGGUAAGCGGAAUAUGUCAUGUAGCGGUGAAAUGCUUAGAUAUGACAUAGAACACCAAUUGCGAAGGCAGCUUACUACAUAUAAAUUGACGCUGAGGCACGAAAGCGUGGGGAUCAAACA